AACUUUCAACAACGGAUCUCUUGGCUCUCGCAUCGAUGAAGAACGCAGCGAAAUGCGAUAAGUAAUGUGAAUUGCAGAAUUCAGUGAAUCAUCGAAUCUUUGAACGCACCUUGCGCUCCUUGGUAUUCCAUGGAGCAUGCCUGUUUGAGUGUCACGU
rnacentral:rRNA from 6 species